CAUGAACUAUAAACCAAAAAAGCUCAGGGGGGAAAAAUCUGUGCUCUGAUGUGAAACCCUUCGGCCGACUCCAGCAUAUGCAGGAAAGCCGGCCGGAGCUCCAGACUGUUUAAAACGAUGUUUGAUCCAAUCCAGUUGAAAAAGAUAUUUUAGUAAAUACCUGAACUCACUCACUUCUGCAAAGAUUGGCUUCGGCUGUGAGUUCCCCAGGAGGACCCUUGGAGAAGCCAGGAGAUGCCCGAAGGCCACGUAAAUUCUGUCCCCACUGUCCUCCAUCCGCUGAAUACAGACACGGUCAUGGUCGUUCCAACAGUGGCUUCUUGUGAUCUCAGGAGGAAGGACCUUGGCAGAGGCUGCUCCUUUGAGAGGUUUUGCGAAGCUUAAAAGAGGAUCCAGCUUCCAGCCCAGAACCUG